CCUGCAAAUGAUUGGGUCUAUCAUAACAUGGAACUAAACUUGGGCAUUCUAAUUAGUCAUGUGCUUAGUCGCUUAAUAAGCAAUUCAACAAUAGAAGAUUGUCUAAUUGCAUUGUGUCAGUGGUGAACAAGCAUGUUAGAAAGACAGUAGCAACUGGAAGGAUAAGCUACUAAGGUUCUUCUAAAAAAACUAAAUGGAACUUACAGCAUUUCUUGCAUCAGAUGGAUGAGACUCUGGCAGUCCCUGCAAUGAUGUUUCAGGAGCUGAUACCUGCGCACAAUAUCCAAGCUGAAAGUCCACCCCCCAUGCAUGAACAAAGUCAUUCUGUAAUAUCAAACUUGCCAAUUGAAUAAGGAAUUUGGUGUACGACUAGUGUGUUAAGAUCUGAAAGCAUACCUGAAUUAUGUACCAUGCACAGCGCCACGAUGCUCUUGAAAAAACAGGAGCCAUCAUUUCCACCCACCUACAUGUGAAUUCAGAAUUCAAAGAUGGAUAGGAAAGAUGUGAAAUGAAACACAAUCCUUUCUGCCCAAUAAUAUAAUAUUACCCAGUGCAUGGAGGUUCAGUACUGUCUCCGUAGCACCUCCUUCCAGGACCCUUUAUGUUUAUUGUCCUCCUGUUUCAACCAUCAGAGUACAUCCUUUCAAGAAGAUCCAACUUAUUACUGAUAAAACCAGUCACUGAUCAUGAAAGUAAUAAUACCUGUGCACUCUUGACCCUUCUUGUCGCGCUGUGGAGAUUAAUUUUCUGGUUGACAUUUCAUGGAUCUUAGUAUGAAGAUAUAUCUUUUUAUUACCGCCCAGCAUUGAAAUUUUCGACUCCAAGAUCUUCAUCCCAGAGGAAUAUGUAAGCAUACUGUGCAACAAUAUCUGGGUGUAAGAACCUCUUCGCAAACCACCUAAAAUAACAAGAGACAGUUAAUGGUUUUACCAUUAUAGAAUAACACAUGGUGUGGGGGGGGAAAACAAGUAUGGGAUGGAGUUGAGGAUACUGACUCUCAACUCGGAACCCACAAUGUCGUAAAUUUUGGAUAGCAGGUCUGACUGUGGAUUAAAGGUUCAUACCAUUUAGUUUGAUUAAUAGCAGAAAUGUGAAUAGCAGUGCUACUCCAUUCAAGAUCAUUCCAUUCAUUGAGGAGGCCAUCAUAGUGAAAAAGCAUAGUGACAAAAUCAGUAUGUGGAAACUGCAAAUGAGAUAGAUAGUAUUAUAUAUACUAGUUAGUUAGAUGGCUAGGGCUAGGAUGAAAGAUGAUGAAUAUGUAUUGGGUCUCACCUUGUUUACAAUUUCAUUUACACUCUUUUUCUGCUUAA